UACGUAGGGUGCAAGCGUUAAUCGGAAUCACUGGGCUUAAAGCGCGUGUAGGCGGGACGGCACGUCUGUCGCUGAAAUCCCCCGGCUUAACCGGGGAACUGGCGUAGAUACGACCGUCCUUGAGGGGCGUAGGGGGACCUGGAACUUCCGGUGGAGCGGUGAAAUGCGUUGAGAUCGGAAGGAACGCCCGUGGCGAAAGCGGCGCACUGGACCACAACUGACGCUGAGGCGCGAAAGCUAGGGGAGCAAACAGG
rnacentral:rRNA from 1 species